UUAAGGCUUGAGCGUUGUCCGGAUUUAUUGGGCGUAAAGAGCGUGUACGCGGGCAUACAGGUCCGUUGUGAAAACUGGAGGCUUAACCUCCCGACGACGAUGGAAACCGUAUGGGUAUAGUCCGGAAGAGGAUAGGGGAAUUCCUGGGGCACCGGUGAAAUGCCCACAUAUCAAGAAGAACUCCCGUGGGGAAUGCGGCUCUCUGGGACGGUACUGACGCUGAAGCGCGAAAGCGUGGGGAGCCUCUAGGAUUAGAUACCCUGGUAGUCCACGCCGUAAACGAUGGGUGCUAGGUGUGGGGGGUGUCGACUCCCUCCGUGCCGCACCUAACGCAUUAUACACCCCGCCUGGGGAGUACGGCCGCGAGGCUA
rnacentral:rRNA from 1 species